UGGGGAAUAUUGCGCAAUGGGCGAAAGCCUGACGCAGCAACGCCGCGUGAGUGAUGAAGGCCUUCGGGUCGUAAAGCUCUGUCGGAGGGAACGAAUGCUCCUGAAGUUAACAGCCUCAGGAGGUGACGGUACCCUCAAAGGAAGCACCGGCUAACUCUGUGCCAGCAGCCGCGGUAAUACAGAGGGUGCAAGCGUUGUUCGGAUUUAUUGGGUGUAAAGGGUCCGUAGGUGGUCUAACAAGUCUGAUGUGAAAUCCCAUGGCUCAACCGUGGAACUGCAUUGGAAACUGUUGGACUUGAGUACCGCAGAGGUAAAGGGAAUUCCCGGUGUAAGGGUGAAAUCUGUAGAUAUCGGGAGGAACACCAGUGGCGAAGGCGCUUUACUGGGCGGUUACUGACACUGAGGGACGAAAGCAAGGGGAGCAAACAGGAUUAGAUACCCAAGUAGUCCCUGAGCGGGCUGGCAAGGCGCAU
rnacentral:rRNA from 1 species